rnacentral:rRNA from 1 species
UACAGAGGUCUCAAGCGUUGUUCGGAAUCAUUGGGCGUAAAGGGCGCGUAGGUGGUUCUGUAUGUCUACCGUGAAAGCGUACGGCUCAACCGUAUUUUGUCGGUGGAAACUGCAGGACUUGAGGCUGGGAGGGGCUGGUGGAAUUCCUGGUGUAGCGGUGAAAUGCGCAGAUAUCAGGAGGAACACCGGUGGCGAAGGCGGGUCUCUGGGCCGUAACUGACGCUGAGGAGCGAAAGCAUGGGGAGCGAACAGG